rnacentral:lncRNA from 1 species
AACUCCUUGCACUGACUGCUUGGCAUCUUUAGUCUAAGCAACUGCUCAGUGAACUCAGUGUUCCUGCUUUGCGAUAGCCUGCUGGGGAUUGUGCAAGAAUGGUCUGUGCGUUUCUCAGUCUUCGGUUCAGGCUCCACAACUGGUUGAUGCUGUUUUCCUGUUAGUGUCUCCUUUUCAUCAUGCACGAUCCUCCAUAGUGAUGGAAUGGAGACAGCUUCUCAGAGAAAGCACAGCUUUGGAAGGUAAGUAACUUUUGGAUGGUGAGACCAUCAGACCAAUUUGACUAGGCCAAGACUCUGAUCAAUGUUCUUAAACCUAUGUAACACUGCCACAGAGAUUUCAAAGGAGGAAGGGUCCUGGACCGCCCAUUCAUCCAUUCUCAAUGAAUUAUUCAUUUGACCAGCGCUUUCUGACUUUCUAGCUUCAGCCAGACACAGUACAAGGGACAGGGGAGACUGAGAUGAAGAACACUUGGUGCUUCUUCCCAAGGCCCUUGCAGUCUCAGAGAAG